UGGUUAAGACAAACCAUCCUAGCUGCUGCGUGACCUGUUUGUUGACCUGCAGAUGAGCAAAAACUUUUAGCAUACAUGUGUGUCACAGUAGGACCAUCUGUCAAUCUGUGUGUUUAUAUUUGGUUAGGCGGACUUAAGAUACGGGAAGCUUGCCUUCUUGAAUGCGAUAAAAUUGCUUAGGUUUACGUGGCUGGAUCCUCAGCUGGCGAGCUUAGUUUGCUGCAUAUUUUAAGCGGGUGAUUCAUUUAAGAAUAUGUGAGACUGUGGAUUAUAGCAGCUUAUACGCUUCCAAUGAGAUGUACAGUGGUGGUGGUCUACUUCUCUUCCUGUAACAAUUGUCUUGCUCCAUAGAAGCUGUGUUAGAGUAUUGCGUUGAUUUUAGUUACAUUAGAUACAACCAAUCCUGAAGAAACGCUUUGGUGAACAGUAGUAUGACUAAUUGUCCUGUAUUUUUUUUUUUUAAUAACGGUAACUCGGUAAGUGUGGAUAACUUUUUUGAUUCUUUAAACAUCGAUGACCAUGCAGGCAGUGUAAUUAAACUUGCUUAAACAGCUUUUAAAAAAUGUACACAAGCGAACCUCAUGAAACAGAGUAUUUUUGCGCCGCAAGUUGUUAUACAGCAUAUAUAUUUUGAUCACAGAAAGUCUGAUGUGUUGUGUGACCCUAGAUACGACGCAGUUGACUAUGGGAUCAAGUGUAUUUUUCUCUCACCGUUUUGUUUCGAAUUAUCAAUAAUAUGAUGAGAAGGAGUCAGUAUACAUUUUAAUAUGUAAGACGUCACCAAGGAAUUGCAAUAGAUUUGUCUUUCUUGCCAGUUGUUUGGUUGACAAUAUCAAUAAAAGGAAAUGAACAUAGGUUUCUUGUUUUUACCAAAAAAAAGAAAAUAGGUUUCUUGUAGUGGAGGUAUGUUUAAAAAGAGAGCCUACAUGCACUUUAAAACGGGUCCAAAAUAGCUAAAGUUAGAUUUUAACAAUUCAUAGAAAUAUUAAAAUACAUUAUAAUAAAUCAGCUAGUUCAUCACCGCUCUAUGCUCAAAUGAUAGACAAUAGGUCAGAGAAGGAAGUGGAAACCUCAAAUGAGAGUUCAAUGACACGUUUUGAUAUAAGCACCAACAUGAACUUUUCUUAUGCCGUUUAUAAACUGAAGCCGCUCGGUGUCGUUGGAGAACUUGACGGGAACUGCAGGUGCCAGACUGCCAGUUAAACCACCACAACCGCCAAGUGAUGUCUUCCCUCCUCCGCCACCAAGUAAUUUCUUCAUGCCGCCAUUAAUGGCUGAAGAUGCUGCUAUGGAAAUUCUCAUAAGAUCUUGAACGGUAGCGUUGCUCUUCUGCGUAUUAAUCCCUCUGUGUCUUUUCUCUCCUGCAGUCUCUGAUAUUCUUCCUCCUAUGGAAGAAGCCGAUUGGAGAAACCAUAGGCGGUCACGGCGGAGGAGUGAGAUAUGUUCUCUGUGGAAGCAUAUUCGAGUUAGCUGGCCGGCGAUUUUCCUUACGAAUCAUAGCAGAGAAAUCAUGAACCAAUUGAGACAAAGAAAAAGACGAUGACAGGCUGUGUAAACCAAAACGAAGAUGAAAUAUUAAUAAGGGAUUUAACAACGAAAAAUCUGUAAUUGGGAGGGUUUCGGUGAAGAUGAAGAUCAGAAGUCGCGACAGAGCCUAUAUCGGCAAUGAACCCUAAAGUUCUAUUCCUAGCGAAAAGAGAUGAUUAUGGUUGACUCUAUCGGACUGAUGGGCUGCUCUUUUCAUCGAAACAUGAGGCCCAAAAUCCAUAGCAAAGCCCGCAUCAAUUGUAUAUCAUCCUUCAUAUAUUAACAGAGGAUCAUUUAAAAAAUUGUAAUCUUAAAUUUGUACUAAUUAAAAAGAUACUCUAUUUAGGUGUCACUUAAUUAUAAUGACAGUUUAGCUUACGUGGCAGCCGAAGAAUCAAUUGAAAAAAAUGUUGGUCCAAAUCUAAUUACUAGAGAACACUAUAUUAACCCAAAAUAUAAGAAGCGUCUAUUUUUUCUUUAAAUAAAAACUACGGAAUUGCCAAAAAAAAUAAUAUAUAUAUAUAUAUAUAUAUAUAUAUAUAUUACUAACCCUAAACGUAUAUCUUCCAUUCUCAUUCAUUUUUCCGUCUUCUCCUUCUUCAACGUAUAUGUUCAGUACAUACUUAAACUCAUUUUAUGACCGAUUACAUGUAUGAAUCACUAUACUUUGAGAUUUUGAUUUAUGUUUGAUUACAAGUAGUUUUGCGAUUUGUUUUCUCUUUGCUCUUUACACAGGCAUGAGGUCAAAUAUUCAUGAUUAUCCAGGUUUGAUUUUGAUGUCUCUUUGAUUUUGAUUUAUGAAUAGAUGGAUUCUUUACCAUUUUCUAUUCAAUAUAAUACAAAUAGAAAUUACACGAAAAAAAAGAAUACAGACUCGUGUUCCUCAAUGUAAUAACAAAUCAGAAAGAUCGUAAAUCUUAUAUUAAGUUGUUCAAUCUUCUAACUUCAACAAUAUUGUUUCUGGUCUCACAAAAUCAAAUCAAGGAUACAUAGAAUUUUUUUUAUUUGUUACACAGUUCGGUUAUAUCCGAAUUAAUCCAAACCCGAACCUUAAAAAUCCAAGCCCGAUCUGAAGUAUAAAAUAACCCGAACGGGUUCUGUACCUCUCUAUCCGAAAACCUGAAAACCCGAAGCACUCGACCGAACCUGAACGGGUACCUGAGCGCCCAUGCCUAGUUCUGAAGAACACGAAGAGAAAAGUGUUCAAGAGUCACGACUCGAGAGGCAAGAGCAUUCUUCUUAUACACCCAAAGCCUAAAGAUUGUUCAGACAUAGUUUUUUAACUUGGCUGUUUAUAACGCAGUGCUUUUGAUUGAGCAAAAAAAAAAGCUCUAUCGUGUUUAUAUGUUUUAAUGCUAGACUGCCACAAACCUUGACGUAGGCUGGAGAUCAAGACAACAUUUUUUAUGUUGAAGCCUAAAGUUUGGAACAAUUUAAGAUAAAGAUUAAUAUGCUGCUACAGUGCUACUUUACAUCUAAAUCUUAAUAUUAAUUAUUAAGAUGCUGGGACUUCACCUCUAAAGCUUAGAUAUUCUUUUGCCGGUGAAAGUUUCUGAUUCUAUCAGGAAGGCCAUUGCAAUCAUACAGGCCUCCAGUAAUGGCCAUUGCAGCCCAGAAUUAGAGGAUUUGGCCACUAUCACUACAAGAAAAAUGAGUUUUUAUAACGGAGUAGGAUAGCGUUUUUUUCGUUUCUGCUAUGGUUGAUACAUCCUUUAGUUUUAGAUAGCGUUUCUAAAAAUAAAAACGCUAUCUUUAGUUGGGUUGGAUUUUAAAUUUUAUGAUACAUAGUUUACAUAGCACUUUAGGUAAGAAACGCUAUGUAUUGAUUCCCGUAACACUUAUAACUAAAACGCUAUGUUUGAUAUUUUGAAUCCCUAAACCCUAAACAAGUUUUCAAACCCUAAACUCUAUACACAAACUUUAAAUUCUAAUACAAUAAGCUUUAUAAUACUUGAAAACUUAAACUCCAAAUCUUAAAAUUAACUUUUUUAAAAAAAAAUUAAUCUUAAGCAAUAUAUCUAUUUUCAAACUUUAACCAUAAACCCUAAACCACAUACUUCAACCUAUGUGAUAGAACACUAAACCUCAAACUUUAAAUAAAAUAUAAUUUUAUAAUAUAUAUGUAUAUAUAAUAUAUUUCUCAAAUUAUAUACAACAUAUAAAAUUUUACAUUAUACAUUUCGAAAAUAAAAAACCACUAAACAAAUAAACAACAAAAAAGAAGAAAUACUAGCAUUUAAAAUCUUUUUAUCAAAUUAGUUUUUAAAUCACAUAACCACAAAAUUCAAAUGGAAAACUUUUAGUUAAAAUUCUAUAUAAAUUUAUUUAAAUUUUGACAUUUUUAAAUAAUUAUAGAUAAUUAAAAGUAUAAUCUUUAUUAGUUGUUUUUUGGCCUUUGAUUGAUUUUGAUCCAAAGGCUCAAAAUCACUCCUUUGUGAUCUUCCACCUUUCUUCUUAUUGGUCAGUUCCUCAAAAUUUGGAUUAAUAUUUUAAACCAUUGAUUACUUGUAAUCCAACGGAUAAGAAUUAAUCUAUCUUUUCAUUUCUCUUCCUCUAUACUCUAUCGAUCUCUUUCUUUCACAAGUCUCAGAUUCUGGGUUUCACUAGCCUCAUCUCUCACCAUCUAUCACACACACACACACACGCUAUAGAUCUCAUCUGUUUCUUUCUUCCUUUACAGUUUCUCAUCUCUCACGAUUCUCUGUUAACAACAAAUCAACAAAAAAUCCACGGAGUGAUUUCUCUCUACAACAAAUCAACUCAGUUGCAGAGGCUGCUGACAAUUGACAGAGAUAAAAUAUGGAGGAGGACGACGGAGGACAUGGCUGAAGCGUCGAGGAUGGAUGAAUAUGGCAGAUGAGGACCUGAUCUGGCGGAGAGCUUGGCGAUGGAGGACGCGGCUGACGGCAUGGCUGAAGCGUCGAGGAUGGAGGAGGAAAGCAUAUGGCGUAGCUGACAGCUUGGUUUGAAGCGUCGAUGGUGGAGGAGUUCGUGAUGGUGGUUGACAGAUCCGGUAAAGGAGGCGGCUGUUGGAGCUCUGCGGCAAAAUAGAUGGAGGCACGAGGAGUUAGGGUUUUUAGGUUUAGCGGUAAACUGUAUAUUUUUUUUUACGUUUAGUUUUUUGUUUGUUUUUAAUUAGGUUAAUUUUGUAAACCUACUUUAAUAUGUAAACCAAAUUCAAUUAUUUAGUAAAAAUAAUUUAAUAUAUUAUAUAUUUUAACUGUA